rnacentral:rRNA from 1 species
GAUGAACGCUGGCGGCGUGCUUAACACAUGCAAGUCGAACGGAAAGGCUCCUGCUUGCAGGGGUACUCGAGUGGCGAACGGGCGAGUAACACGUGGGUGAUCUGCCCUGCACUUCGGGAUAAGCCUGGGAAACUGGGUCUAAUACCGGAUAGGACGAUGGUUUGGAUGCCAUUGUGGAAAGUUUUUCGGUGUGGGAUGAGCUCGCGGCCUAUCAGCUUGUUGGUGGGGUAAUGGCCUACCAAGGCGUCGACGGGUAGCCGGCCUGAGAGGGUGUACGGCCACAUUGGGACUGAGAUACGGCCCAGACUCCUACGGGAGGCAGCAGUGGGGAAUAUUGCACAAUGGGCGCAAGCCUGAUGCAGCGACGCCGCGUGGGGGAUGACGGCCUUCGGGUUGUAAACUCCUUUCGCUAGGGACGAAGCGCAAGUGACGGUACCUGGAGAAGAAGCACCGGCUAACUACGUG